rnacentral:rRNA from 1 species
UUAGAGUUUGAUCCUGGCUCAGGAUGAACGCUAGCGAGAGGCCUAACACAUGCAAGUCGAGAGGGUAACAGGGGAGCUUGCUCCCGCUGACGACCGGCGCACGGGUGAGUAACGCGUAUGCAACCUGCCCGCUACAGGGGGAUAGCCUUCCGAAAGGGAGAUUAACACCGCAUAACACCGCGACGGGGCAUCCCGAUGCGGUUAAAUAUUCAUAGGUAGCGGCUGGGCAUGCGUGACAUUAGCUAGUUGGCGGGGCAACGGCCCACCAAGGCGACGAUGUCUAGGGGAACUGAGAGGUCGAUCCCCCACACUGGUACUGAGACACGGACCAGACUCCUACGGGAGGCAGCAGUGAGGAAUAUUGGUCAAUGGAGGCAACUCUGAACCAGCCAUCUCGCGUGAAGGAAUACGGCCCUACGGGUCUUAAACUUCUUUUAUAGGGGGAUAAAUUGAGAUACGCGUAUCUUAUUGCAGGUACCCUAUGAAUAAGCAUCGGCUAACUCCGUGCCAGCAGCCGCGGUAAUACGGAGGAUGCGAGCGUUAUCCGGAUUUAUUGGGUUUAAAGGGUGCGCAGGCGGCACGUUAAGUCAGCGGUGAAAUGUCGGGGCUCAACCCUGGCACUGCCGUUGAAACUGGCGAGCUCGAGUACGGAUGAAGUUGGCGGAAUGUGAUGUGUAGCGGUGAAAUGCUUAGAUAUGUCACAGAACACCGAUUGCGAAGGCAGCUGACUAAUCCGCAACUGACGCUCAGGCACGAAAGCGUGGGGAUCGAACAGGAUUAGAUACCCUGGUAGUCCACGCAGUAAACGAUGAAGGCUAGCUAUUAGCGAUAGACAGUUAGGGGCUAAGGGGAAACCGAUAAGCCUUCCACCUGGGGAGUACGCCGGCAACGGUGAAACUCAAAGGAAUUGACGGGGGGCCCGCACAAGCGGAGGAACAUGUGGUUUAAUUCGAUGAUACGCGAGGAACCUUACCCGGGCUUGACAUUGAUUGACAGCAUUAGAGAUAAUGCCUUUUCUUCGGAAACAAGAAAACAGGUGGUGCAUGGCUGUCGUCAGCUCGUGUCGUGAGAUGUUGGGUUAAGUCCCGCAACGAGCGCAACCCCUAUCCUAUGUUACCAUCAUUAAGUUGGGGACUCAUGGGAGACUGCCAGGGACAACCUGGAGGAAGGCGGGGAUGACGUCAAGUCAUCAUGCCCCUUAUGUCCUGGGCUACACACGUAAUACAAUGGCCGACAACAGAGAGAAGCGAUACCGCGAGGUGGAGCAAAUCCCCAAAAGCGAUCUCAGUUCGGAUUGCAGGCUGCAACUCGCCUGUAUGAAGUCGGAAUUGCUAGUAAUCGCGGAUCAGCAUGCCGCGGUGAAUACAAUGCCCGGGCCUUGCACACACCGCCCGUCAAG